GUUGUAUGGUUAAGUGACUAAGCGUACAUGGUGGAUGCCUUGGCAGUCAGAGGCGAUGAAGGACGUACUAACCUGCGAUAAGCUGUGAGAAGUCGGUAAGAGACGCUAUUACUCACAGAUUUCCGAAUGGGGAAACCCACCCGAGAUAACUCGGGUAUCUGUUACUGAAUACAUAGGUAACAGAGGCGAACCGGGAGAACUGAAACAUCUAAGUACCCCGAGGAAAAGAAAUCAACCGAGAUUCCCUCAGUAGCGGCGAGCGAACGGGGAUUAGCCCUUAAGCAUCUUGGAAGUUAGUGGAACGGUCCUGGAAAGGCCGGCGAUACAGGGUGAUAGCCCCGUACACGAAAACAACCUUGAUGUGAAAUCGAGUAGGGCGGGACACGUGACAUCCUGUCUGAAUAUGGGGGGACCAUCCUCCAAGGCUAAAUACUCCUGACUGACCGAUAGUGAACCAGUACCGUGAGGGAAAGGCGAAAAGAACCCCUGUGAGGGGAGUGAAAUAGAACCUGAAACCGUGUACGUACAAGCAGUGGGAGCCCUUCGGGGUGACUGCGUACCUUUUGUAUAAUGGGUCAGCGACUUACAUUUUGUAGCGAGGUUAACCGUAUAGGGGAGCCGUAGGGAAACCGAGUCUUAACUGGGCGUCUAGUUGCAAGGUGUAGACCCGAAACCGGGUGAUCUAGCCAUGGGCAGGUUGAAGGUUGAGUAACAUCAACUGGAGGACCGAACCCACUAACGUUGCAAAGUUAGGGGAUGACCUGUGGCUGGGGGUGAAAGGCCAAUCAAACUCGGAGAUAGCUGGUUCUCCCCGAAAGCUAUUUAGGUAGCGCCUCGGACGAAUACUACUGGGGGUAGAGCACUGUUUGGGCUAGGGGGUCAUCCCGACUUACCAACCCCAUGCAAACUCCGAAUACCAGUAAGUAAUAUCCGGGAGACACACGGCGGGUGCUAACGUCCGUCGUGAAGAGGGAAACAACCCAGACCGCCGGCUAAGGUCCCAAAGUUCUGGUUAAGUGGGAAACGAUGUGGGAAGGCUCAGACAGCUAGGAUGUUGGCUUAGAAGCAGCCAUCAUUUAAAGAAAGCGUAAUAGCUCACUAGUCGAGUCGGCCUGCGCGGAAGAUGUAACGGGGCUCAAACCAGGCACCGAAGCCGCGGAUUCACACUUAUGUGUGAGUGGUAGGGGAGCGUUCUGUAAGUCUGCGAAGGUGUAUCGAGAGGUAUGCUGGAGAUAUCAGAAGUGCGAAUGCUGACGUAAGUAACGAUAAAGGGGGUGAAAAGCCUCCUCGCCGGAAGACCAAGGGUUCCUGUCCAACGUUAAUCGGGGCAGGGUGAGUCGACCCCUAAGGCGAGGCCGAAAGGCGUAGUCGAUGGGAAGCAGGUUAAUAUUCCUGCACGACUUGUAAUUGCGAUGGGGGGACGGAGAAGGCUAGGUGGGCCAGGCGACGGUUGUCCUGGUGAAAGUGCGUAGGUGGUGUUUCUAGGCAAAUCCGGAGACACAACACUGAGACACGAGACGAACACACUACGGUGUGGAAGCCAUUGAUGCCCUGCUUCCAGGAAAAGCCUCUAAGCUUCAGAUUACAAGUCAUCGUACCCCAAACCGACACAGGUGGUCGGGUAGAGAAUACCAAGGCGCUUGAGAGAACUCGGGUGAAGGAACUAGGCAAAAUAGAACCGUAACUUCGGGAGAAGGUUCGCUCUUGACAGUGAAGUCCCUUGCGGAUGGAGCAGUUGGGAGUCGCAGUGACCAGAUGGCUGGGACUGUUUAUCAAAAACACAGCACUCUGCAAACACGAAAGUGGACGUAUAGGGUGUGACACCUGCCCGGUGCCGGAAGGUUAAUUGAUGGGGUUAGCGCAAGCGAAGCUCUUGAUCGAAGCCCCGGUAAACGGCGGCCGUAACUAUAACGGUCCUAAGGUAGCGAAAUUCCUUGUCGGGUAAGUUCCGACCUGCACGAAUGGUGUAACCAUGGCCAUGCUGUCUCCACCCGAGACUCAGUGAAAUCGAAUUCGCCGUGAAGAUGCGGUGUACCCGCGGCUAGACGGAAAGACCCCGUGAACCUUUACUACAGCUUGGCACUGAACAUUGAACCUACAUGUGUAGGAUAGGUGGGAGGCUUUGAAGGCGUGACGCCAGUUGCGCUGGAGCCGUCCUUGAAAUACCACCCUUGUAUGUUUGAUGUUCUAACGCAGGGCCCUGAAUCUGGGUCGCGGACAGUGCCUGGUGGGUAGUUUGACUGGGGCGGUCUCCUCCCAAAGAGUAACGGAGGAGCACGAAGGUUGGCUAAUCCUGGUCGGACAUCAGGAGGUUAGUGCAAUGGCAUAAGCCAGCUUAACUGCGAGACGGACAGGUCGAGCAGGUACGAAAGUAGGUCAUAGUGAUCCGGUGGUUCUGAAUGGAAGGGCCAUCGCUCAACGGAUAAAAGGUACUCCGGGGAUAACAGGCUGAUACCGCCCAAGAGUUCAUAUCGACGGCGGUGUUUGGCACCUCGAUGUCGGCUCAUCACAUCCUGGGGCUGAAGUCGGUCCCAAGGGUAUGGCUGUUCGCCAUUUAAAGUGGUACGCGAGCUGGGUUCAGAACGUCGUGAGACAGUUCGGUCCCUAUCUGCCGUGGGCGUUGGAUGAUUGAAGGGAGUUGCUCCUAGUACGAGAGGACCGGAGUGAACGAACCUCUGGUGUUCGGGUUGUCACGCCAGUGGCACUGCCCGGUAGCUAAGUUCGGAAUCGAUAACCGCUGAAAGCAUCUAAGCGUGAA
rnacentral:rRNA from 1 species